rnacentral:lncRNA from 1 species
GUCUAAUAUAUUAUUCAUGUCUAUGUUUAUUUGGUUGAGUGUCUCCAUUCGAAAAACUAUUAUGAUAAUAUUAGUUUAUCUGCAUCAGCGACAAGGAGGACUUAACUCAUAAUAGUUUCAUCUUGGAUAUGAUACUGCUUCUAGUGCUUGUUCAACAAUGAACAUUAUUGUUUAUGCUGUUCAUCAUAGAUACCAGGACUAAA